rnacentral:sRNA from 1 species
GCUGGGCAUGGUGGCACGCACCUGUAAUCCUAGCAAUUUGGGAGGCUGAGGCAGGAGGAUUGCAAGUUCAAAGGCAGCCUCAGCAACUUAGCAAUUCAGUGAGAUCCUGUCUCUA